rnacentral:tRNA from 1 species
AGUCCUGUAGCUCAAUGUCAGAGCCCUUUCUGAUCAUGAUGGCCUCCUGCUCAUGAAAGGAGAUGGUGGUUCGACUCCACCCAGGACUACCA